UCCAUCCGGUUUGGUCUCACAGAAGCUCAUGGGAAAGGGCAAGCAUUGCAAUUCAAUUGGUUGUAUGAGAAAGGAGCCUUUGUUUUCCACAAGGACUCGACCUUCUCCGUUGAUUUCGAUAAGGUCGAAGGUGCGGUUGAGAGUCUGAGCCAUGAGAUACUAACCAUUCAAGGAAAAGGUGACAAAAACGCAGCAACAUUGCUUCUAGAUAAGUACUGCACCGUCACCGGACCGUUGAAAACAGCUCUGGAGAAUCUCGAAAGCGUAAAGGUACCAGUGGAUAUAUCUCCAACAUUUCCAUUAGCAGAUGCAUU